UACGGGGGGGGCAAGCGUUGUUCGGAAUUACUGGGCGUAAAAGGGCUCGUAGGCGGCCAACUAAGUCGGAUGUGAAAUCCCCAGGCUUAACCUGGGGAACUGCAUCCGAUACUGGAUGGCUUGAAUUCGGGAGAGGGAUGCAGAAUUCCAGGUGUAGCGGUGAAAUGCGUAGAUAUGCGGAGGAACACCGAUGGCGAAGGCAGCAUCCUGGGAAGUUCCUGACGCUCGGGUGCGAAAGGCCAGGGGAGGCGAACGGG
rnacentral:rRNA from 1 species